rnacentral:rRNA from 1 species
ACGCUCGACACCUACGGGAGGCAGCAGUGGGGAAUAUUGCACAAUGGGGGAAACCCUGAUGCAGCGACGCCGCGUGGAGGAAGAAGGUUCUUCGGAUUGUAAACUCCUGUUGUUGGGGAAAAAGAGGAUGGUACCCAACAAGGAAGUGACGGCUAACUACGCGCCAGCAGCCGCGGUAAUCUGAGCGGGCUGGCAAGGC